rnacentral:tRNA from 31 species
GGGGGUUUAGCUCAGCUGGGAGAGCACCUGCUUUGCAAGCAGGGGGUCAAGGGUUCGAUUCCCUUAAUCUCCACCA